GUCACCAAGUGUCUAUAGUGAAGAAGUGAAGGAAGUCGUUUUGGCUGCCGUGCUGCUCGAACACGCCAUGUUCAUGCCAUGAAAGAGAAAAAUAUACCUGGA